AUUGAACGCUGGCGGCAGGCCUGACACAUGCAAGUCGAGCGGAUGAAGGGAGCUUGCUCCUGGAUUCAGCGGCGGACGGGUGAGUAAUGCCUAGGAAUCUGCCUGGUAGUGGGGGAUAACGUCCGGAAACGGGCGCUAAUACCGCAUACGUCCUGAGGGAGAAAGUGGGGGAUCUUCGGACCUCACGCUAUCAGAUGAGCCUAGGUCGGAUUAGCUAGUUGGUGGGGUAAAGGCCUACCAAGGCGACGAUCCGUAACUGGUCUGAGAGGAUGAUCAGUCACACUGGAACUGAGACACGGUCCAGACUCCUACGGGAGGCAGCAGUGGGGAAUAUUGGACGAUGGGCGAAAGCCUGAUCCAGCCAUGCCGCGUGUGUGAAGAAGGUCUUCGGAUUGUAAAGCACUUUAAGUUGGGAGGAAGGGCAGUAAGUUAAUACCUUGCUGUUUUGACGUUACCAACAGAAUAAGCACCGGCUAACUUCGUG
rnacentral:rRNA from 1 species